AGUGAACGCUGGCGGCGUGCCUAAUACAUGCAAGUCGAACGAUGAAGCUUCUAGCUUGCUAGAAGUGGAUUAGUGGCGCACGGGUGAGUAAUACAUAGGUUAUGUGCCCCAUAGUCUGGGAUAGCCACUGGCAACGGUGAUUAAUACUAGAUACUCCUUCCGAGGGAAAGUUUUUCGCUAUGGGAUCAGCCUAUGUCCUAUCAGCUUGUUGGUGAGGUAAUGGCUCACCAAGGCUAUGACGGGUAUCCGGCCUGAGAGGGUGAUCGGACACACUGGAACUGAGACACGGUCCAGACUCCUACGGGAGGCAGCAGUAGGGAAUAUUGCUCAAUGGGGGAAACCCUGAAGCAGCAACGCCGCGUGGAGGAUGAAGGUUUUAGGAUCGUAAACUCCUUUUCUAAGAGAAGAUUAUGACGGUAUCUUAGGAAUAAGCACCGGCUAACUCCGUGCCAGCCGCCGCUGUAA
rnacentral:rRNA from 1 species